rnacentral:misc_RNA from 1 species
CGGAGCGCUCGGCCUUGUGUUCGAACGCGUGCUGAUCCUUCCCGUCUACGGCAACCACCUCAAGCAGAUCCUGAUCACCAUGGGCGGGCUGAUCGUGGCCGAGCAGUUGCUCUAUGCGCUGUGGGGACCGGAGCGCAUCCCGCUGCCGCUGCCAGCUUCGCUGCGCGGCUCCUUCAUUCUCGGCGACAUCGCUAUCGCCAAAUACCGCGUGCUGGCGAUGGUCGUCGGCCUCGUCGUGUUCGGCCUUGUGCUGCUGGUGUUGAACCGCACGAAAAUUGGUUUGCUGAUCCGCGCCGGUGUCGAGAACCGCGAGAUGGUCGAGGCGCUGGGCUAUCGCAUCAAGCGUC